CAAUAGCGUAUAUUUAAGUUGUUGCAGUUAAAAAGCUCGUAGUUGGAUUUCGGGUGGGACGCAGCGGUCUCGCAUUGCGUUUGUACUGCUGCAGCCUACCUUGCUGCCGGGGGCGGGCCUUCGGACUUCAUUGUCCGGGGCCCAGAAUCGGCGAUGUUACUUUGAGUAAAUUAGAGUGUUCAAAGCAAGCUUACGCUCUGAAUAUAAUAGCAUGGGAUAACACGACAGGACUCUGGCCUAUCGUGUUGGUCUAUAGGACCAGAGUAAUGAUUAAGAGGGACAGUCGGGGGCAUUCGUAUUCCGUUGUCAGAGGUGAAAUUCUUGGAUUUACGGAAGACGAACAUCUGCGAAAGCAUUUGCCAAGGAUGUUUUCAUUGAUCAAGAACGAAAGUUGGGGGCU
rnacentral:rRNA from 1 species